UUGGCGGUGGCUUCACAACAGGAGGCUUUGGUGGUAGAGUUGGCGGUGCUGGUGUUACCGGCGGCGUAGGAUAAUACGGUGGUGUAGGGGUAACAGGAGGCUUUGGUGGUAGAGUCGGAGGCUUGAUCACCGGUGGUUUUGGUGUCGGUGUUACCGGAGGGGUAGGAUAAGGCGGCGGAGUUGGGGUAACAGGAGGCUUUGGUGGUAAAGUUGGUGGGGAAAUGAUUGGUGGUUUGGGUACAUAAGGUGGUGGCUUUACAGUAGGAGGCUUUGGUGGUAAAGUUGGUGGGGAAAUGAUUGGUGGUUUGGGUACAUAAGGUGGUGGCUUUACAGUAGGAGGUUUUGGUAUAUGGGGUGGAUAUACAAUUGGAGGCUUGACAACCGGUGGUUUGGGUACGGUUGGUGGUUUGACAACGGGUGGUUUGGGUACAUAAGGUGGCGGCUUUACAGUAGGAGGUUUUGGUACAUGGGGUGGAUAUACAAUUGGAGGCUUGACAACCGGUG
rnacentral:lncRNA from 1 species